CCAGGCCCUAUGGGGCGCAGCAGGCGAGAAAACUUUGCAAUGUGCGAAAGCACGACAAGGUUAGUCCGAGUGAUUUCUGCUAAAGAGAUNUUUUGCAAGUUCUAAAACCACUAGUGAAUAAGGGGUGGGCAAGUUCUGGUGUCAGCCGCCGCGGUAAAACCAGCACCUCGAGUGGUCAGGAGGAUUAUUGGGCCUAAAGCAUCCGUAGCCGGCUCUGUAAGUUUUCGGUUAAAUCCAUGCGCUCAACGCAUGGGCUGCCGAAAAUACUGCAGAGCUAGGGAGUGGGAGAGGUAGACGGUACUCGGUAGGAAGGGGUAAAAUCCUUUGAUCUAUCGAUGACCACCUGUGGCGAAGGCGGUCUACCAGAACACGUUCGACGGUGAGGGAUGAAAGCUGGGGGAGCAAACCGGAUUAGAUACCCGGGUAGUCCCAGCUGUAAACGAUGCAGACUCGAUGAUGCAUUGGCAUAUAGCCAGUGCAGUGUCGCAGGGAAGCCGUUAAGUCUGCCGCCUGGGAAGUACGUACGCAAGUAUGAAACUUAAAGGAAUUGGCGGGGGAGCACCACAAGGGGUGAAGCCUGCGGUUCAAUUGGAGUCAACGCCAGAAAUCUUACCCGGAGAGACAGCAGAAUGAAGGUCAAGCUGAAGACUUUACCAGACAAGCUGAGAGGUGGUGCAUGGCCGUCGCCAGCUCGUGCCGCGAGAUGUCCUGUUAAGUCAGGUAACGAGCGAGAUCCCUGCCAUUAGUUGCUAUCAUUAUUCUCAGGAAUAGUGGGGCGAACUAGUGGGACUGUCGUUGUUAAAACGGAGGAAGGAAGGGGCUACGGCAGGUCAGUAUGCCCCGAAACUCUGGGGCCACACGCGGGCUGCAAUGGUAGUGACAAUGAGUUCCAAACUCGAAAGAGAGUGGCAAUCUCCAAACACUACCACAGUUAUGACUGAGGGCUGUAACUCGCCCUCACGAAUAUGGAAUCCCUAGUAACCGCGCGUCAUUACCACGCGGUGAAUACGUCCCUGCUCCUUGCACACACCGCCCGUCGUUUCAUCGAAGUUUGCUUUUAGCGAGGUGAUGUUUAAUUGGCAUUAUCGAAC
rnacentral:rRNA from 1 species